rnacentral:rRNA from 1 species
GUCUAUGGCCAUGCUACCCUGACCAUGGCGGGAUUCUGUCUGAUCUUGGAAGCAAGGCCAGGCCUGGUUAGUAGUAGGAUGGGAGACCACCCAGGAAGACCAGGUGCUGUAGACG